CUAAAAUGCCAUGUAAUGCAACAAAAAAUUUCCAGUCCUUUUAUGUUCAGUGAAUUAAAAUGGUGGAAUUAAUAUGAGUCAGCUGUCAUAUCAAGCUCAAUGAAAUCGGUGAUUGCACUGGAUGCUAUUUGGCCCUAAAAUAGAUAAUAUGAGGGCAAAUGGUUUACAAAGAGCUGAGAUGCUCCUUAUCUCUGUGGUGAAAUGAUGACAACUGAAUCCGUGACCUUUCGUUACUGUCUCAUCAUCACCAUGAAGACUGGAAGAAAAGAGGAAGAAAGAACACAGGGAGAGAAAAACAUGAAGUGGACAAAAUAAAAAGAAAAACGAGAACUGGAGAGACAGUCGUUCCAGAUCCCGGUCCAAGUGGUGUUUUUUCCAGACUUGUCCAUCACUGCAUCAUGGCUGCUGAACAGCCUUUUAGACUCAUGUUAAAUCCACCAUGGCUUGAGCUAGCUCCAGUUAACUUGUUACUUCCUUCCAACCGAAUACACCACCCACUUCCUGAGCUGGGUCCACAAUGAGUUCGUGCACUAAGAGGAACCACCACUUCCGGGCCGUGGAUUAGCUGCUGACACGGAAGUAUAGCGCUGAGUCUUCCGGUUCAGAGGACUGCAUUUCCAGACUGCAGGGUGAGUUUGGCGGCAUUUAGCUGAGAAUCGCUCCUUGAGCAAGUUGAUUUGAUCAAGAACUUGUUCGUUCUGAAAGUAAAUGAAAAACUUCAACUCCUUUUUCUGGGUCUGUUGAUACCAGUAAACAAAAAGUAUGUCCCUUUUCGGGGAUACAAUGCGUCCUUGCUUUCUGUCCUUUGCCUUUGACCAGAUGUCCUGGAGUCUGCGUGACUUUGGCCUCAAUAGAGCCUAUAAGGAGAAGACACAGAAGCUGUUGACAAAGCCCAGGAGGGACCCUGACAAGGGAAGAGCUUGGGGCUGGGGGUCAACAAGCCCAGAACAGGAUUUUCCUUUUGUGCUCGGGACUCACCGGCUCGUGGGAGACAAAGGGCUACACAGCAGAGAAGCCCUGCACCAUGGCGGCAUCAAAGUAGCAAAACGAUGAGGCUUCCCCAGGUCCCAUCAGCAACCUUCCUGUGACGUGAUCGCUUUGCAGACUCAUAAUGGUCCUGCAACUGCUUCAAGUCACUGAGCAAAAACACCUAUGGCAUCAGAAGGAAAACUUUUAUCCCAGCUCAGUAAAUAUAGCUAGUUUGUAUUUUAUUCAUUUAGAAACAUUCAUUUUAAAAACAGUUUAUAUCUAAUUUUACCAACAGAAACAAUAUAUAUUUUUUAGAAAGUUGUACAGUAAAAAAUAAAAUACCACAUGACUGCCGAAGAUGCUGCCUGUUUUUUUUAUUGAAAUCAAGAGUGUUUUAUUAAAAAGAAACAUAUUGAAUAGAUAAUAGAGUUAACAGAAGCCAGACGUGAAGAUACAUUCCCAAAGUUUGCUAUUACAAUAUUUCAUUUGUUUAACAAAAACAGCCCAAACUAUGUUUUGCCUCAAGCACCAGGCUUUAAGAGAAGUAAAUAUUUUUUAUAUAA